GGUGACCUCCUGGGAAGUCCUCGUGUUGCUCCCCCU
rnacentral:rRNA from 1 species